rnacentral:misc_RNA from 1 species
GAUGAAGAACGUAGCGAAAUGCGAUACGUAAUGUGAAUUGCAGAAUUCAGUGAAUCAUCGAGUCUUUGAACGCACAUUGCGCCCCCUGGUAUUCCGGGGGGCACGCCUGUCCGAGCGUCAUUGCUGCCCUCAAGCACGGCUUGUGUGUUGGGCCUCCGCCCCCCGGCUCCCGGGGGGCGGGCCCGAAAGGCAGCGGCGGCACCGCGUCCGGUCCUCGAGCGUAUGGGGCUUCGUCACCCGCUCCGUAGGCCCGGCCGGCGCCCGCCGGCGACCCCCCUCAAUCUUUCCAGGUUGACCUCGGAUCAGGUAGGGAUACCCGCUGAACUUAAGCAUAUCAAUAAGCGGAGGA